GCCCGACUAGCUCAGCCGGUAGAGCAUGAGACUUUUGAUCUCAGAGUCGUGGGUUCAAGCCCAACGUUUGGCG